rnacentral:rRNA from 1 species
AGUGAACGCUGGCGGUAGGCCUAACACAUGCAAGUCGAACGGCAGCACAGUAAGAGCUUGCUCUUACGGGUGGCGAGUGGCGGACGGGUGAGGAAUACAUCGGAAUCUACUUUUUCGUGGGGGAUAACGCAGGGAAACUUACGCUAAUACCGCUUACGACCUACGGGUGAAAGCUGGGGAUCUUCCGCCCUUGCGCGAUUGAAUGAGCCGAUGUCGGAUUAGCUAGUUGGCGGGAUAAAGGCCCACCAAGGCGACGAUCCGUAGCUGGUCUGAGAGGAUGAUCAGCCACACUGGAACGGAGACACGGUCCAGACUCCUACGGGAGGCAGCAGUGGGGAAUAUUGGACAAUGGGCGCAAGCCUGAUCCAGCCAUACCGCGUGUGUGAAGAAGGCCUUCGGAUUGUAAAGCCCUUUUGUUGGGAAAGAAAAGCAGCAGGUUAAUACCCCGCUGUUCUGACGGUACCCAAAGAAUAAGCACCGGCUAACUUCGUG